GACGAACGCUGGCGGCGUGCUUAACACAUGCCAGUCGAACGGAAAGGCCCUGCUUUUGUGGGGUGCUCGAGUGGCGAACGGGUGAGUAACACGUGAGUAACCUGCCCUUGACUUUGGGAUAACUUCAGGAAACUGGGGCUAAUACCGGAUAGGAGCUCCUGCUGCAUGGUGGGGGUUGGAAAGUUUCGGCGGUUGGGGAUGGACUCGCGGCUUAUCAGCUUGUUGGUGGGGUAGUGGCUUACCAAGGCUUUGACGGGUAGCCGGCCUGAGAGGGUGACCGGCCACAUUGGGACUGAGAUACGGCCCAGACUCCUACGGGAGGCAGCAGUGGGGAAUAUUGCACAAUGGGCGGAAGCCUGAUGCAGCAACGCCGCGUGCGGGAUUACGGCCUUCGGGGUGUAAACCGCUUUCGCCUGGGACGAAGCGUGAGUGACGGUAAUGGGUAAAGAAGCACCGGCUAACUACGUG
rnacentral:rRNA from 1 species